GACGAACGCUGGCGGCGUGCUUAACACAUGCAAGUCGAACGGAAAGGCCUGCUUUCCCUUGUGGAUUGCGGGUACUCGAGUGGCGAACGGGUGAGUAACACGUGAGUGAUCUGCCCCCAACUUGGGUAUAAGCCUGGGAAACUGGGUCUAAUUCCCGAUAGGACUGCAGGGUGGUGCCUGUGGUGGAAAACGAUUUUCUAGUGGUUGGGGAUGAGCUGGCGGCCUAGCAGCGUGUUGGUGGGGUAACGGACUACCAAGGCGGCGACGGGUAGCCGGCGUGGGACGGUGGACGGCCACAUUGGACCUGAGCUACGGCCCGGCGGCCGCCGGCAGUGGGCAGUGGGGGAUAUUGGGCGAUGGCCGGAAGCAUGAUGGCGCGGUGUGGCGUGGGGGAUCACGGCCUUCGGGUUGUAAGAUCUUGUGGGCAGCGAGAAUGCCACCUGGUUGGACGGGUGGUGCGGGUAGUAGUAGAAGAGGCACCGCCUACCUCCGU
rnacentral:rRNA from 1 species